rnacentral:rRNA from 1 species
CCUACGGGAGGCUGCAGUGGGGAAUAUUGGACAAUGGGCGAAAGCCUGAUCCAGCCAUGCCGCGUGUGUGAAGAAGGCCUUCGGGUUGUAAAGCACUUUCAGUGGGGAAGAAAGCCUUGGGGCUAAUACCCUCGAGGAAGGACAUCACCCACAGAAGAAGCACCGGCUAACUCCGUGCCAGCAGCCGCGGUAAUACGGAGGGUGCGAGCGUUAAUCGGAAUUACGGGGCGUAAAGCGCGCGUAGGCGGUCUGAUAAGCCGGUUGUGAAAGCCCCGGGCUCAACCUGGGAACGGCAUCCGGAACUGUCAGGCUAGAGUGCAGGAGAGGAAGGUAGAAUUCCCGGUGUAGCGGUGAAAUGCGUAGAGAUCGGGAGGAAUACCAGUGGCGAAGGCGGCCUUCUGGACUGACACUGACGCUGAGGUGCGAAAGCGUGGGUAGCAAACAGGAUUAGAUACCCCUGUAGUC